rnacentral:rRNA from 1 species
ACACGGGGGGUGCAAGCGUUAUUCGGAAUUACUGGGCGUAAAGAGCGCGUAGGCGGUCUUUUAAGUCAGGUGUGAAAGCCCGGGGCUCAACCCCGGAAGUGCACUUGAAACUAAGGGACUUGAGUAUGGGAGAGGGAAGUGGAAUUCCUGGUGUAGCGGUGAAAUGCGUAGAUAUCAGGAGGAACACCGGUGGCGAAGGCGACUUCCUGGACCAAUACUGACGCUGAGGCGCGAAGGCGUGGGGAGCAAACAGGAUUAGAAACCCGAGUAGUCC